UACGUAGGGUGCAAGCGUUAAUCGGAAUUACUGGGCGUAAAGCGCACGUAGGCGGGUUGCUAAGUCAGGGGUGAAAUCCUGGAGCUCAACUCCAGAACUGCCUUUGAUACUGGCUAUCUUGAGUUCGGGAGAGGUGAGUGGAAUGCCGAGUGUAGAGGUGAAAUUCGUAGAUAUUCGGCGGAACACCAGUGGCGAAGGCGACUCACUGGCCCGAUACUGACGCUGAGGCGCGAAAGCGUGGGGAGCAAACGGG
rnacentral:rRNA from 1 species